GCUGAGAAACAACGUUGGGCAUCUGCGACUUCAGAACUUCAAUCCAGUUGAAGACGUACAUGACAAUGGUCCAACCUCAAUGAAAACAACAAUCAUGAAAACUCUGGCUGUUCAAGGAUAUGGAAGUCGAAGUUUGACAGGUGCUUGUUCUAACCAAAAUGCUUGUUCAACGAAUUGAGAGGCUUCAACCCCAGGUCUAUGUUCUCUUUAGUUUUCUUUAUGGUUUCUCUAACUUCCUUUUGUUUUUGCAACGCCAUGAGAUUGCAACGGUGACAUAGAACAAUGUUCCAUAGCGAUAGGUAGAUGGAAGUGUACGCUUUGG
rnacentral:lncRNA from 1 species